UACGUAGGGGGCAAGCGUUGUCCGGAUUUAUUGGGCGUAAAGAGCGUGUGGGCGGUUACGCAGGUCCGCUGUGAAAACUGGAGGCUUAACCUCCAGACGUCGGUGGAAACCGUAUAACUAGAGUCCGGAAGAGGAGAGUGGAAUUCCUGGUGUAGCGGUGAAAUGCGCAGAUAUCAGGAAGAACACCCGUGGCGAAGGCGGCUCUCUGGGACGGUACUGACGCUGAGACGCGAAAGCGUGGGGAGCGAACAGG
rnacentral:rRNA from 1 species